rnacentral:lncRNA from 1 species
GGAUCAGCUGGUUUCUGGAGCUUGGCAGUGUGCUGGACGUGGUUUUAAAAGCCAGACCAAUAUAUACACAGUGAAUAGACAUAAUGAGUGAUUUUCCAAAAGAAAAUUCUUCUUUCAAGAAGAAAUAACUUGGAUCAGCCAAAAUUCAUCAAGACACCAUUUACUGGAGAAAAGUAUUUUCUCUGUAUCUGGAGAGUUGAAGACAGAAAUAAUGAUCAAGCAUUUCUCUGCUUUCCCCAUUCCAUGAUGAUAUGAUCUUCUUGAUGCUGAAUUUGGUUCAGAUCCAGGAAAGCCUAAUGUUGAAAAUAUCCCUUUAAACAGAGGU